rnacentral:snRNA from 12 species
AUCGCUUCUCAGUCUUAUGGAUAAGAUCAAAGUGCAGUAUCUGUUCUUGUCAGCUUAACAUCUGACAGAUCCUACAUCGGAGGAUAAAUAAUGUUAAACUGAUUUUUGGAAACACCACCGCUGCCAUGGGUUGGCUCGGUAUUGCAGUACCGCCGAGAUUUCGACCCAAUUAUC